AAGAUCGAAUGGGGAGAUUCAUCGUCAGCUUUGUCGGCUUGCGUGCUGCUCGCGAUGCUCGUCUUGGGACGUUAAUAGCGUUCUUUUGGACGGGCACGCGGUAGCUGCGUAAUUCUGUCCGAUGAAGUCGGCGUGCACUUCUCCCCUAGUAGGACGUCGCGACCCGUUGAGUGUCGGUCUAAGGCCCGCGAGGUUGACUGCCGGUGCGUCAGCGUGUCAAAGCGUUGGCGCCGCCGGUAGACCCGCGGUCGCCCGACCGACUGCUCGGCGGUAUAAAUUGUUUGAAAGUUCAAUGGUAUCGAGCCGCAUGAUUUUGAAUGCGUUCUUUUAUGGCUCGUCGGCAGGUGAGCCUCGCCUCGGAUUUUACGGACCUGGUGCCGUUGUCGAGCGAGUUAAGUUUGCCGUUUCGCCGACGAUGUCCUCGGACGGGCUCUAUAAAGGGUAUUUAUACUCUUUUGUUACCAGUCAGCGACGCUACUGCUUUGGGUACUUUCAGGACCCGUCUUGAAACACGGACCAAGGAGUCUAACAUGUGCGCGAGUCAUUGGGACUUGUUUUUGAUAAGCCUAAAGGCGCAAUGAAAGUGAAGGUCCGCUCUGAUGCGCGACCGAGGGAGGAUGGCUUC
rnacentral:rRNA from 1 species